AUCAGCAACAAGCAAAGUCCUAUCGUAUCGAAUCAGAAUAUCCUUAAUCUCCUUCUUCGUCUGCUCAUCAACGUACUUCUGGUAGAAAGCAACAAGAGCCUUUGCAAUUGACUGACGGAUAGCGUAGAUCUGAGAAGUAUGACCUCCUCCUUUGACUCGGAUUCUCAUGUCAACUCCGGCGAAUCGUUGACGACCUAGAAGGAGGAUUGGCUCGAAAGCUUUGUACCGGAGAAUCUCCGGCUGAACAAGCUCGAUAGGAACUCCGUUGAUUUUGAUCAAACCACGACCACGCUUGCAGUGUGUCACCGCCACCGCCGUCUUCUUCCGCCCGAAACAUUGCACGGACUCCACUGUCGCCGGUGCCGCCUGCAUUUCUCCUGCUUUGAUUAUUUUGCUUAGUCUGAUGGCCA
rnacentral:misc_RNA from 1 species